CCUACGGGAGGCAGCAGUGAGGAAUAUUGGUCAAUGGACGAGAGUCUGAACCAGCCAAGUAGCGUGAAGGAGGAAGGCCCUAUGGGUUGUAAACUUCUUUUAUAUGGGAAUAAAAUGUUCCACGUGUGGGAUUUUGUAUGUACCAUAUGAAUAAGGAUCGGCUAACUCCAUUCCAGCAGCCGGGUUAAUACGGAGGAUCCGAGCGUUAUGCGUAUUGAUUUGGUGUAAAGGGAGCGUAGGUGGAUUGUUAAGUAAGUUGUGAAAGUUUGCGGCUCAACCGUAAAAUGUCAGUUGAAACUGGCAGUCUUGAGUACAGUAGAGGUGGGCGGAAUUCGUGGUGUAGCGGUGAAAUGCUUAGAUAUCUCGAAGAACUCCGAUUGCGAAGGCAGUUCACUGGACUGCAACUGACACUGAGGCUCGAAAGUGUGGGUAUCAAACAGGAUUAGAUACCCUUGUAGUC
rnacentral:rRNA from 1 species